CCUACGGGUGGCAGCAGUGAGGAAUAUUGGUCAAUGGCCGGAAGGCUGAACCAGCCAUGCCGCGUGAAGGUCAGUGCCCUAUGGGCGUUAAACUUCUUUUGUGCGGGAGCAAUAAUGGUCACGUGUGGCCAGACGAUAGUACCGUAAGACUAAGCAUCGGCUAACUCCGUGCCAGCAGCCGCGGUAAUACGGGGGAUGCAAGCGUUAUCCGGAUUUAUUGUGUUUAAAGGGUGCGUAGGCUGUGAGGUAAGUCAGCGGUGAAAUGCCCCCGCUCAACGGGGUGAAGUGCCAUGGAUACUGCCUUGCUGGAAUGCGGAUGCGGUGGGAGGAAUGUGUGGUGUAGCGGUGAAAUGCAUAGAUAUCACACAGAACACCGAUUGCGAAGGCAUCUCACGAAUCCGCGAUUGACGCUGAUGCACGAAAGCGUGGGUAUCAAACAGGAUUAGAUACCCCGGUAGUC
rnacentral:rRNA from 1 species